rnacentral:tmRNA from 1 species
GGGAAUGUAACGGCUUCGACGGGAUGAAAGAAGGUUAAAACAGCAUAUAGUGUUCUCAGCAAGCACUUUAAAAAGGCUGAAAGGCUAUAAAUGCCGACUAUAACUAUGCAAUGGCUGCUUAAUUAAAAAAGCAACCCGUUUUACUGCACCGUCUCCGCUCACCGGACAGCAGUAAAACGCCAAACAGGUGAGAUAGCUUAAACUCCUGCCUGUGUGGUUUAAGUGAAGCUAAAGCGGGCUGGUACAUAAAAGGUUUGUUUACUGUCCUGUUGUGUGCGAGGAGAUAAUACAAUAAACUAAAUAUGUAGACGUUUUAAUGGUCUUCGUUUCGGACCCGGGUUCGACUCCCGGCAUUUCCACAA